GCCUUGUUGGUGCAGUAGGCAGCACGUCAGUCUUGUAAUCUGAAAGUCAUGAGAUCGAGCCUCAUAUGGGGCA